GACGAACGCUGGCGGCGUGCCUAAUACAUGCAAGUAGAACGCUGAAGGAGGAGCUUGCUUCUCUGGAUGAGUUGCGAACGGGUGAGUAACGCGUAGGUAACCUGCCUGGUAGCGGGGGAUAACUAUUGGAAACGAUAGCUAAUACCGCAUAAUAGCAGUUGUUGCAUGACAACUGUUUGAAAGGUGCAAUUGCACCACUACCAGAUGGACCUGCGUUGUAUUAGCUAGUUGGUGGGGUAACGGCUCACCAAGGCGACGAUACAUAGCCGACCUGAGAGGGGGAGUGGCCACACUGAGACUGUGACACGGCCCAGACUGCUUGGGGUGGCAGCAGGAGUGAUUCGGCGGCAAGGGACGGAAGUCUGAGCGAGCAACGCGGCGGGAGGGUGGAAGGUUGUCGGGUCGUAAAGCUCGGUUGUAGGAGAGUAACCAGCUUUAGAGUGUAAAGUACAGUCUGUGACGGUAACUUACCAGAAAGGGACGGCUAACUACGUG
rnacentral:rRNA from 1 species